ensembl:lncRNA
UCUAGUAGUUGGAACCCAGAGGAGCGAAGGAAGUAAGAUUUGCUGAUUUCAACGGCCAGCCAAUGCAUCAUAAAACUCCGUUCUCACAGCCACCAGGAAGACCCUGAGAAUGAUUGCCCAAGUUGUGCCAUUUACUUAUUAACCAAGAAGUAAAUUUGCGUUAUGGGCACGUUAUUUACUCUGUUGGAAAAUACCUUCUCGGCGCUCCUGUUUUCUCCUUUCUGAUGGUAAGAUUUAAAUGAGGUAAUAUGCGUGAAGCUGUUAACACAGCAAUUGGAAAACAGUAAAUGCUCAACACGUGCUGGAUGUUAUUACCCUUCAGGAUGGAGAGGCUGGCCCAGAGCGGUUAAGUAACUUGGCUAACCCACGAGGCUGAACGAUGUCAUAGCCCGGAUUCCCACCUGGCUCCUAACGCUCACACUCCGGAUUCUGCGCUAGGUUCUGGUGCUGCGGAAACACCGUGAGCUGUCCUGGUGCGAGGGAUCCCCGCAGCCGGAUGGUCUCGACGUGAAUUGUCAGCUGUAACUUUUUUGGAGAUACACCUUAUCCGCUCAGCUCGUGAAAAGUUCACGGGCCCUUGGGAUCCUUAUCUCUGCCUGAGGAAUACCUUCGUUCAUUAAUGAGCAAACCACUGAGUAAAUAAAUAAACACAAGCAAAGGGGAGGCCGAGAUGUUAGGCAAACAUUUGCAGAGCACGAUGCCAGGCCUUUCCGGGGCUGGGAGCUGCCGAGAUCUACCCCCGCUCAGAUGCCCAGGGCUUGCCUGGAAGACAGAAAGUCUCCUUCAGAAAACCCCUGGGGGCUACCUAGACUCUGUACCCCAGAGACGCCUUCUAUCUCUGGGCAUCAGUUUCUCAUCUAUGAGGAAGCGAGGCCCGGACUUUGGAGAAUCCGAAGCUGAGCAGCCUGGGUCCUCCAGGCUGAGCAGUCUCCUCUCAAAACUGAUGAAAGCAGAAUGGGUUUCACUUUGCCACAUGCCUUUCAAUCUUCCAAGGAAGGAUGGAAUAAAGGAGCCUGGCUUGACACGGAAGCUCACAUCUUGAUAACCUGGCUGGAUGUGCGGCGGUUGGAUCACACGUCAGCGGUGGCUCUGGGUCAGAGUUUCAGGGGACAGCCUUGCCAGUGUGGUCAGACUGCUGACAUUUUGUUAUGGGUUUACUGGGGUUCCCAAACCGUCUAAACCCCAAGCCGUCCCAUCCCCCCCGCCCCCGACAGUCACCGAUUGCAGCAGACUCCGGAAAGAGUGCGUGGUACCUCUCUAUAGUUCAGUCUGCUCCACAGAACUUGACCGGGGCACAUCUCCGGGGAAUGGCCUCUUCACCUGACACCAUUCUGCAGCGUUUCAUGCGGUAUCUACCAGACUGUGUGUCCAGAAGGUGAGGAGUGUGGCCUGCUCCUUCGGAGAGGACUCGUAUUACAUGCUUGCUCCAGGCUAUUGAAUUUGGUCAUAUUGCAUUCUUAUUUUUAAGUGUAUUUAAGUGGAUCUUCUCCGGACGGUAUAGAUUUUGCAGCCAGACAGGGCUCAUCAGCCCCCGGGGACCCUCAGUAGCAACCGGGCGGGACUGACCGGUGUGAACUUCUGGGAAGGAACUAACCCCGGGCUUUGAUUUGUCGUACCUUCUUUUGCUUUUCUCCUAGAUUAAUUUUCCAUCUUAGUAAACCAAUUUGAAUCUUUUUUUGAAGUGUCCC